rnacentral:lncRNA from 1 species
GGAAAAAGGGAGUGAGGGGGAAAAGGAGGGGUGGAGAGAGAGAGAGAAUAUGAGAGAUAGAGAGGGAGGGAGAAAGAGAGGGAAAGAGAGAGAGGGUGAGAGAGAGAGCGGGUGAGAGAGGGAGAGGGAGAGAGAGAGAGGGAGAGAGAGGGAGAGAGAGAGAGAGCGAGAGAGAGAGAGAGGGAGAGAGGGAGAGAGAGUGUGUGAGAGAGAGAGAGCAGGUGAGAGGGUGAGAGAGAGAGAGAGAGCAGGUGAGAGAGGGAGAGGGAGAGAGAGAGAGAGAGAGAGGGAGAGAGAGGGAGAGAGAGGGAGAGUGAAAGAGAAGAGAAAAGAGAGAAAAGAGGGAGGGAGGAGGGCUAUGGGUGGAGCUGCAGAGGAACAGUCCAGGGUUUGUUUGCUGAUAUUAUUUUAAUGUCAGAACCCUGUUCCAAUGUAAGCAGCAUGGGAGUACUGGCCAUCACUUCAAUCAUAUCCAGGUCAAUAGCCGUACUGUUUUUGCCAUUGCCGUUAGACUUCUCAUUAAACGUGAAUCAAUAAAGGAAUUUGCAUCCUGGCAUCCCCCAGGCUGUCUGUGUUUAUGCUACUGUACAGUAAACGCUAAGGUGUGUUUCUCUAUAUACAAUAUAAUCUACAUAGAAUGUCAUUACCUGUCAAUUAUCCUUAUGACCUUGAUCAAACCUCUGUGGUUCUUCACAUGUUAAACAAUGCCAGACUGUUUGGUGAGUGUCAGAAGUUGGAUGAUGCUGUAUUCACAUUAGUUGUAUAAACAUUCCACACAAAAAUGGAUUCCCAAUAACUAGGCCAAGAACAAAGUAGUCGGCAUAUUCACAAUUAAGAGUAGUCAUUGGUCCCAUUCAGUAGGCCUCGAUAAUAACAACGACGUCAGUACAGAUAAAACGACUGACAUCUUCCUUCACCACAAGAUCUCUAAUCAACGAUUCCCAAAGUGCUGACGCAGCAGUCGACUGCUGAACCAGGACAUGCUUGUGAUGUAGUCUAUAGUGCAUUCAGCCAUGCCUGUCUGGUUUCACCCAUUCUCCAAAGGCCAAGGCAAGGUCAGCAGUUGGUGGGUGGUCCAUGGUGAGUUAGAGAGAGAGGAGAGACAGAUUUGGAGAGAGAGAUAUGGGGAGGUGUAGAGAGGAUGGAGAGAGCGAGAGAAAGAGAGAGAGAGAGAUGGGGAGAGAGGGCAGAGUCGCUGUUGGAAGUUGCCACCAGAUGGAGGUGCUGCUGAGAACAGACCACCCAAGUGGAGCGUGUGUGAGGUUGACCCAGUUAAUUUUAUCACUGGAGUCAUUGGCUGCAUCCCAUAGGGACUAGGGUGCCAUUAGGGACGUAGCAAUGUCUCACCCAUAGGGGACAUGACAGAAAAGGGGGAUAUUGUAUUGAGGCUGUAGUUUUCCAGUAUGUUUCCAGUGUGUUUUCAGUGUGUUUCCAGUGUGUUUCCAGUGUGUUUCCAGUGUGUUUCCAGUGUGUAUCCAGUGUGUUUUCAGUGUUUCCAGUGUGUUUCCAGUAUGUUUCCAGUGUGUUUUCAGUGUGUUUCCAGUGUGUUUUCAGUAUGUUUCCAGUGUGUUUUCAGUGUGUUUCCAGUGUGUUUUCAGUGUUUCCAGUGUGUUUCCAGUGUGUUUUCAGUGUGUUUCCAGUGUGUUUUCAGUGUGUUUCCUGUGUGUUUUCAGUAUGUUUCCAGUGUGUUUUCAGUGUGUUUCCAGUGUGUUUCCAGUGUGUAUCCAGUGUGUUUUCAGUGUUUCCAGUGUGUUUCCAGUGUGUUUUCAGUGUGUUUUCAGUGUGUUUUCAGUGUGUUUUCAGGGGGAUUCCAGUGUGUUUUCAGUGUGUUUCCAGUGUGUUUUCAGUAUGUUUCCAGUGUGUUUUCAGGGUGUUUCCAGUGUGUUUUCAGUGUGUUUCCGGUGUGUUUUCAGUGUGUUUCCAGUGUGUUUUCAGUGUGUUUCCAGUGUGUUUCCAGUGUGAUUCCAAUGUGUUUUCAGUGUGUUUUCAGUGUGUUUCCAGUGUGUUUUCAGUAUGUUUCCAGUGUGUUUUCAGUGUGUUUCCAGUGUGUUUUCAGGGGGAUUCCAGUGUGUUUUCAGCACAGGUCAUUGAGAUAAAGGCAUUGAAAAGGGUCCAGGGGACAUUCUGGUGUCGGGUAGUGUUUUCAAGAGGCAGGGAGGUGUAAAGAGAUCCAUUGUACUGUACGAUAACCACUCAGGUUUUUGCAGGUGUUGGUGUGUGGGGGGUAUUUGUGUUUGUUUGUGCCCAUUUUGUGCUGUGUCUGUGUGUGUUUAUGUGUGUCUGCGUACGCAAAUGUGUUUGAUUGUGCAAAUAUGUGUGCGUGCAGGCAUGCGCACGUGAAGUGUGUGUAUGUGGUUUACAAAAGAUGGGCUGGUGGGUGGUAAUGUGGGUAAAAGACGCAAUGCUUCCUUCAUACAGCAUCCGUUAGAUCUGCUAGCUAUUCAGUCACUUACAUAACACCCCUGUAGUUCUAUCCUAUUACCUCCAACAGACACGCCAUUCAUACAGACAGUACUGCAGGUCUGUGGCCCCAGCUCUCCGACCAAUACCUGCGGCAUCAUGGAUAACCCUGGUGGAUUGUCUAGCCUCCUCUCCACUGAGACAUUGGGGAAGGAGUUUAUAGAACUGUUGGAAUUCGGACCCUCCAAAAACUAUUCUGUCUCAAAAUGUUGUUUUCUCUAGCCCUCCUCUUCCUGCUAACCCCGUUUCCCUCCCUUCAAACUCCAGUAACCUAUGAGAAAAGAAAUGCCACAGGAACAGGAAGUGAACCCAAACCCUACGUCCUACUCACCCUCUCCCUCACAAAACCAAAAACCGCAGCCACGCUCGUCAAAGUCACCAAAGAGACCCCUAAGCCCACUCCGAAAGUCCUAAGCCCAACUGCAGCCAAUCAGACACAUCCAGCCCCCACAAACCCCCUCAAACCUCCAACAGCCACGUUCAUCAAACUCACCAAAGAGACCCCUAAGCCCACUCCAAAAGCCCUAAGCCCAACUGCAGCCAAUCAGACACAUCCAGCCCCCUCGACCCCCCUCAAGCCUCCAACAGCCACGUUCAUCAAACUCACCAAAGAGACCCCUAAGCCCACUCCAAAAGCCCUAAGCCCAACUGCAGCCAAUCAGACACAUCCAGCCCCCUCGACACCCCUCAAGCCUCCAAUAGCCACAUUCAUCAAACUCACCAAAGAGACCCCUAAGCCCACUCCAAAAGCCCUAAGCCCAACUGCAGCCAAUCAGACACAUCCUGCCCCCUCGACCCCCCUCAAGCCUCCAACAGCCAUGCUCGUCAAACUCACCAAAGAGACCCCUAAGCCCACUCCGAAAGCCCUAAGCCCAACUGCAGCC